CGUGUAGGCGGCUAGGUAGGUCCGCUGUGAAAACUCGAGGCUCAACCUCGAGAUGUCGGUGGAAACCAUCUGGCUAGAGUCCGGAAGAGGAGAGUGGAAUUCCUGGUGUAGCGGUGAAAUGCGCAGAUAUCAGGAAGAACACCCGUGGCGAAGGCGGCUCUCUGGGACGGUACUGACGCUGAGACGCGAAAGCGUGGGGAGCGAACA
rnacentral:rRNA from 1 species